rnacentral:misc_RNA from 1 species
ACUCUUCAACCCGCCGGUUCCUUGUUGGACCGGAUUGGUGUUUGGAUUUUGAGUGUUGCUAUUUAGUUAGCUCAUUCGUAAUACAUUAGCAUCUCAAUUUCGUAAUCGGAUUGACUCAGCGUAAUAGACUAUUCGCUGAGGACACCAUUUUGGUGGCCGAGACAUGAAAGAGUGGAAGCUUCAAACCCCUCCUAGUCAUUUUUAG